CUGCGAAUGGCUCAUUAUAUAAGUUAUCGUUUAUUUGAUAGUACCUUACUACUUGGAUAACCGUGGUAAUUCUAGAGCUAAUACAUGCUAAAAAUCCCGACUUCGGAAGGGAUGUAUUUAUUAGAUACAAAACCAAUGCCCCUCGGGGCUCUCUGGUGAUUCAUGAUAACUCGUCGAAUCGCACGGCCUUGCGCCGGCGAUGGUUCAUUCAAAUUUCUUCCCUAUCAACUUUCGAUGUUUGGGUAGUGGCCAAACAUGGUGGCAACGGGUAACGGAGGGUUAGGGCUCGACCCCGGAGAAGGAGCCUGAGAAACGGCUACUACAUCCAAGGAAGGCAGCAGGCGCGCAAAUUACCCAAUCCCGAUACGGGGAGGUAGUGACAAUAAAUACUGAUACAGGGCUCUUUUGGGUCUUGUAAUUGGAAUGAGUACAAUUUAAAUCCCUUAACGAGGAACAAUUGGAGGGCAAGUCUGGUGCCAGCAGCCGCGGUAAUUCCAGCUCCAAUAGCGUAUAUUAAAGUUGUUGUGGUUAAAAAGCUCGUAGUUGAAUCUUGGGCCUGGCUGGCCGGUCCGCCUCACCGCGUGUACUGGUCCGGCCGGGUCUUUCACUCUGCGGAACCACAUGCCCUUCAGUGGGUGUGGCGGGGAAGCAGGACGUUUACUUUGAAAAAAUUAGAGUGCUCUAAGCAGGCCAAUGCUCGAAUACAUUAGCAUGGAAUAAUAAAAUAGGACGCGCGGUUCUAUUUUGUUGGUUUCUAGGACCGCCGUAAUGAUGAAUAGGGACAGUCGGGGGCAUCAGUAUUCAGUUGUCAGAGGUGAAAUUCUUGGAUCUACUGAAGACUAACUACUGCGAAAGCAUUUGCCAAGGAUGUUUUCAUUAAUCAGGAACGAAAGUUAGGGGAUCGAAGACGAUCAGAUACCGUCGUAGUCUUAACCAUAAACUAUGCCGACUAGGGAUCGGACGAUGUUAUUUAGUUGACUCGUUCGGCACCUUACGAGAAAUCAAAGUGCUUGG
rnacentral:rRNA from 1 species